UACAGAGGGGGCAAGCGUUGUUCGGAAUUACUGGGCGUAAAGGGCGCGUAGGCGGCCGCCUAAGUCAGACGUGAAAUCCCUCGGCUCAACCGGGGAACUGCGUCUGAUACUGGGUGGCUUGAAUCCGGGAGAGGGAUGCGGAAUUCCAGGUGUAGCGGUGAAAUGCGUAGAGAUCGGGAGGAACACCUGUGGCGAAGGCGGCCACCUGGGCCGACCCUGACGCUGAGGCGCGAAGGCGUGGGGAGCGAACGGG
rnacentral:rRNA from 1 species